ACUCAGAUUCCAUCAAUAACAGCAGCUCAACCAGGACAAGAAGUCAGAAUAAACUGUAAAACCAGCAGUAAUGUGUAUGGUGGUAGAUCUUAUUUACACUGGUAUUUACAGAAACCUGGAGAAGCUCCUAAACUUCUCAUAUAUUAUGCAACAAGCCUGAAUCAACUGCAGUCAGGAACUCCAUCUAGAUUCAGUGGCAGUGGAUCUAACAGUGAUUUCACUCUGACCAUCAGUGGAGUCCAAACUGAAGAUACAGGAGAUUAUUACUGUCAGAGUUUACACUGUCCUGGCAGUAGCUGGGUGUUCACACAGUGAUAAAGAGUCGUACAAAAACCUCACAGUGACUGCACUGAUACAGCUGAGAGAUACUGCAGCUGCUCAUAAACACAAUCACACACAACACUGAUCAGAUAACAAACACUAAUAACACAAUAUCAUUACAAUCAGAAUCAACCUUGUAUUUGUGAAGAGAAUGAGUCAGUGUUUUAAUAAGAUCAUCAUGUUUUAAUUGUAAUAUAUGAUCCCUGUCAAUCAAACUGAACAGACUGCAUUCAGUCACUUCUGCUGUCUGGACAUUAUGCUUUCCAUUUGACCCACAGAAAGAUUUACAUUCUUACACAAUUUAUGUCAGAAUGACUGAUUCUUGAUUAAUGAUUAUGGAUUUUUAUUACAUUUCAUAUGUUUUCACCCUCUCCUACAAAUGUAAUGGUGAGUUUCCUGUGUGCUGCUUGACUACAGCAGAAGUGAAACUGGUCUGUUUCAGUUCAGAUCAUGUAACAAUCAAACAGAGACAC